AUUGAACGCUGGCGGCAUGCUUUACACAUGCAAGUCGAACGGUAACAGGCCGCAAGGUGCUGACGAGUGGCGAACGGGUGAGUAAUGCAUCGGAACGUGCCCAGUCGUGGGGGAUAACGCAGCGAAAGCUGCGCUAAUACCGCAUACGAUCUAUGGAUGAAAGCGGGGGACCGAAUGGCCUCGCGCGAUUGGAGCGGCCGAUGUCAGAUUAGGUAGUUGGUGGGGUAAAGGCUCACCAAGCCAACGAUCUGUAGCGGGUCUGAGAGGACGACCAGCCACACUGGGACUGAGACACGGCCCAGACUCCUACGGGAGGCAGCAGUGGGGAAUUUUGGACAAUGGGCGCAAGCCUGAUCCAGCAAUGCCGCGUGCAGGAAGAAGGCCUUCGGGUUGUAAACUGCUUUUGUACGGAACGAAAAGGCUCUGGUUAAUACCUGGGGCUCAUGACGGUACCGUAAGAAUAAGCACCGGCUAACUACGUGCCAGCCGCCGCUGUAAAAC
rnacentral:rRNA from 1 species